GCAUGAAAGAAGAUUACCCUCCAACUGCAGGAGACCCAGAAAAGACCAACAUUGUUUAUAUCUGAACAGGUCAGGACAAACAUGGUUGUCCAAGAAAAUAAACUUGCUAUACCGAUCAUGGGCCUUUAGUCAUCACAAUGGGCCUUCAGUCAUCACAAUGUUAACUAACAACCGCACGCAACUAAUCAUCUAAUUGUUCACACUCUUCAUCAGGCUUCAUAGGUGACAUUCAGCCCCAGAUAACACUCCUUACCUCUGCCAUCAACUCUGUAUCUACAGCUUGAACAAAGUGGCAAACCAGCCAAAUCCGUAAUGUUCGCCCCCUCUGAUCCAAUAGAGCAUCUCGCAAGAUUCUUUGCCUCCUGAUCAUGUCUAUACUCUAAUGCAUUUUCCUUCUGGCUGCCAUUUGCAGCCUCCAUGAACUAGCAAAAACCUAAACCUACAUGGCUGCCCACGUCAUGCUAACAUAUAUGGAUUUUUCAAUGAUUUUUAGGACCUAUAAAUAUAAUUAAAUAGUAAUUACUGCUGCGAGACUCAAAAUCUGAAAUAGGA
rnacentral:lncRNA from 1 species